rnacentral:rRNA from 1 species
CGCCUCCUGCAACACAAUUAAGUAUAGGAGGUCCAGCCUGCCCAGUGACUAUAAGUUUAACGGCCGCGGUAUUUUGACCGUGCAAAGGUAGCGCAAUCACUUGUCUUUUAAAUAAAGACCUGUAUGAAUGGCUAAACGAGGGCUUAACUGUCUCCCUUUUCAAGUCAGUGAAAUUGAUCUGCCCGUGCAGAAGCGGACAUAACUAUACAAGACGAGAAGACCCUAUGGAGCUUAAGGCAUAAAAUUCAACCACGUCAAAUAACUCUAUAAAAAGCUAUUAAACCUUAUGGUAAAUGAAAUCAUGCCUUCGGUUGGGGCGACCAUGGAGGAAAGAAAAGCCUCCAAGUGGACUGGGAUAUAUUCCCAAAACCAAGAAAGACAUUUCUAAGCCACAGAACAUCUGACCAAUAAUGAUCCGGCUUAUGCAGCCGAUCAACGAACCAAGUUACCCAAGGGAUAACAGCGCAAUCCUCUCCCAGAGUCCAUAUCGACGAGGGGGUUUACGACCUCGAUGUUGGAUCAGGACAUCCUAAUGGUGCAGCCGCUAUUAAGGGUUCGUUUGUUCAACGAUUAAAGUCCUACGUGAUCUGAGUA